rnacentral:rRNA from 1 species
AAUAGCCUAACGGCUGAACCAGCAACUUGGAGGAAUGAAUAGCGAUAGCUAAUUGCAUAUAUCUAUCAUGCAAUAUCGACUCAGUCGAAUAAAAUUCUGGCUAGGAUUAUGAUAAUGACAUUGUCUAGCUAUGUGUCUUGACCAAAUUACGUGCCAGCAGUCGCGGUAAUACGUAAAAGACUAGUGUUAUUCAUCUUUAAUAGGUUUAAAGGGUACCUAGACGGUAAAUCAAGCCCUGGACGGGACUAAUUUGCUAGAGUUACUUGCACGGGGGUUAUAAAGUACUAAUGGUGUAGAGAUAAAAUUUUGUAAUACCAUUUUUCGAAAGAAAAAUUAUGGCACUGGUAAAGGCGAAAGCAUCCCCUUAUGUGAUAACUGACGUUGAAGGACGAAGGCUUUGGAUCGCAAACAGGAUUAGGUACCCUAGUAGUCUAAGCAGAGAAUUAUGAGUGUCAUAGAUUAGAAAUUAAUUUUAUUCUAUAAAUGAAAGUGUAAGCACUCCACCUCAAGAGUAAUUUGGCAACAUUGGAACUGAAAUCAUUAGACCGUUUCUGAA